UACGGAGGAUCCAAGCGUUGUCCGGAUUUAUUGGGUUUAAAGGGUGCGUAGGCGGAUCUUUAAGUCAGUGGUGAAAGCCUGCAGCUUAACUGUAGAACUGCCAUUGAAACUGAAGAUCUUGAAUACGGUUAAAGUAAGCGGAAUGUAUCAUGUAGCGGUGAAAUGCUUAGAUAUGAUACAGAACACCGAUAGCGAAGGCAGCUUGCUGAGCCAUUAUUGACGCUGAGGCACGAAAGCGUGGGGAGCAAACAGG
rnacentral:rRNA from 1 species